AUGUUUUUACUCGAUUGUUUGGCUGAAGGUUUUAAACUUAUUUUAAUUUAAUUUAUUUUGACUUCUUAUUGGACCUCCUAUUGUCUUGUAGGGAAACUCCCUCAGAGCUGUUUCAGUUUCUAUCACUUUGGGUUUCACUUUUAAGAGAAGACUGACAAACUGAACACGGAACCCUCAAGCGGUUUUCGUAGUUUCACUUUCCAAAGCAAGUUCCGACGUGGGAAACCCCCCAGUGUUGUUUCAGUUUCUAUCACUUUGGUUUCGUUUUCAUCACAAGACUGAGAAACUGAACACGGGGAAAAGGUCUUGCUUUUGACGCGUAUUCAGUUUGUUUCAUUCUGGUCGACUCACCAAAAACCAGCAAACUGCUUCAGUGUAUUUUAGUCUCUACCCCUUGUGGUUUCACUUUCAUCAGAAAACUGAACACGGGAAACUCCGUCAAUGUUGUUUCAGUUUCCGUCACUUUUAGUUUCAUUUUCAUCAGAAGACUGAGAAACUGAACACGGAAAAGGUCCUGUCGCUGGCGCCUAUCCAUUUUGUUUCCAUUCUGGUCGACUCAUCAAACCCUACAGGUUAGUCAGUUUCUAUGAUAGGUGGUCGAGGAAUGUAAAUUCUAUUCAUUCAACGCAUGGUUAGUGGAGGGGAUAGUUUUGAAGCCCGACAAGCUUUCAAAGAGCAAACAAAGAUGCCAAGAUUUAUAUUGGAAGGUCCAGGACUCUAAAUAUUCUUUCGUUUCACCAUCAUACGCUAUGCAUAAGUCACAUACCGAACCGUUUUAGUUGAGUUAUAUAGUCUAUGAAAUAGAAAUAAUUAUCUAUUGUGUUUUAUGCAUGUUUAAGGCCAAAAUAAGAACAAAAACAUACAUGGAAGAACUUUUUUGGCCUUCAUAAUCAUUUCAAUCUAUUAACUAUGGUCAACAACGCAAUGUCCUUUGAAAGGCAUUUGACUAUAGCGUCAGUAUUUAACAAAAAAAAUGGAGAUAGCAAAAAAUGUUACAUACUUUAGAAGAAGCGAUUUAAUUCAAUUGUUUAGCACAACGUUUGAGACUUUUUCAAUCCUAAUUUCCAUUUGCUUUUGUU
rnacentral:lncRNA from 1 species